rnacentral:rRNA from 1 species
UACGGAGGGGACUAGCGUUGUUCGGAAUUACUGGGCGUAAAGCGCGUGUAGGCGGCCAGGUAAGUCGGAUGUGAAAUCCCGGGGCCCAACCCCGGAACUGCACCCGAUACUGCCCGGCUGGAGUCCCGGAGAGGAUGGCGGAAUUUCCGGUGUAGAGGUGAAAUUCGUAGAUAUCGGAAGGAACACCAGUGGCGAAGGCGGCCAUCUGGACGGUGACUGACGCUGAGACGCGAAAGCGUGGGGAGCAAACAGG